UCGCAGAUAGCUCAAUGGUAAAGAAUCUGCCUGUAGUGCAGGCGACCUGGGUUCGACCCCUGGGUUGGGAA
rnacentral:tRNA from 1 species